CAGGUCGGUCGGGCGAUCGCGGUCCUGCGUUGUUGGGAUCGAGGAAAGUCCGCACUCCAUAGAGCGCGACGUCGGAUAGCACCCGGGGCGGGGAACCCUCCGUGAGGAGCUAACCUGCCGGAUGAGGGCCACAGAAACAGACCGCCUCCCUCACCCUAACCCUCUCCCUUCGGGAGAGGGGACUCCCUUCCCCCAUUGGGGGAAGGGCUGGGGAUGAGGGAGGUGAGGGUGAAAAGGUGGUGUAAAAGACCACCGGCAUCUGUAGUAAUACGGAUGGCCAGGUAACCCCCGUCGGGAGCAAGACCAAGCAGGGACGAAGCCAUCUGCGGAUGGCGGGAGGCUGCUCGCCUUCAUACGUGCCCUCUCAUGCGAUGAGAGAGCCAGUCCCGGGUAGGUCGCAUCGAGCGGUGCGGCGACGCGCCGCCCAGAGAGAUGAUCGCACAAUGGCGCCUGGUUUCGAUAUGAGCGGAAAAACACCGCUCUACCCAACCUACAGCGUCACGGACAGAAUGCGGCUUAUAGACCGGCCUGGGGU
rnacentral:RNase_P_RNA from 1 species